rnacentral:lncRNA from 1 species
CAAAAACAAAAAUGCUAAUGAAUCCCAAUAAGCCUUUGGUGUUUUGGAUGCUUUUACAAUCUAGAGAAGCUUUUAUGAAUAAACUGGUAAGUUUGUCAAUAUCUCUUUGUUUAAUUUUUCCGAUUCUUGAAGUCUAAAGCAUUUGGACAUAGAUUUGAUUGAAACUUUACUUGAAAACUGAUGUACAUCUAUAUAAUAUUUUGAGGAAAUCUUAGUAACUCAGUAAGUUGGUUGGUUAAUUAAACUUUCACCUUUUUAGUAACGAUUCAAUUCACUACUUUAUAAUCAUAUCCCAUUUUCCGUUCUCCUACCCAUAAUUUUGAAGAAAAAAACCUUUGAGAAAAUUAUUCUUUUUUAUAAAAAAAAAAAGACUUACAUGUCCAAAUAGUCCCUAAUAAGAAUUUCAAUUCCAACUCAAAAGCUUCAUUUCCUAAAUUUGUUUUUUCGGCAAGUGUCGUCUUGGUUCAUCAAAGAAAACAUGAUAAUGUUGUGCAAUGCUUUCUUACUGAAAACGGAUAAAGUUUAAUGCCGUGGGAAGCAAAGAUACUGAGACAAAUGUCCAAGAGUUACUUCAUAUGUGAACAAAACUGGCCACGAUUUGUGAUGCAUCACAAAUUUAAGUAAUGCAGCAUUUUUCUAUUUUUUAUCAUUUAAAAAUCAUCCUUAUGUAUGAAACCAUAAACAUAGAAAUGUUGUAGAAACAUUAUUGGUGAGAGUGAACUUUUUUAUGAGGAACUUAACAGCUCUAAAGAUGAUAUUGAACCUUCAGUAAGGAAAUCAAAGAGAGCUAGAAAAGGGGACAAUGAGGAAGAAAGCAUUGAUCUUCCCUAUUCAAAUCAUGCAGUUUACUAUGAAAAACCUAAUCUAAAGAAGGUGUCAUCAGGUAUGCAAUUUAUCAAUGCAGCACCUUAGGAUAUUUCGAUCUAUUUCUCAUUUAUUAAGACUUUAUAUGAAUUGAGAUAAAUUUGAUAGUUUUCACAAUUAUGGGGUUUUCAUAUUUCUUAAGAAAAAAAUAUAACUUAAGAAAUUUGUAUUACAUCUCCAAAAAAAACCAUCAACUUCAAAUCUAUAUGAUUUAAACAACUUCUUUCAAAUUAUGUUCAAACAUGGCUUACAUCAAGUUUGCAUGUGCGUUAAACUAAUUAACAAACUUGAUCUUUAGUGUAGUUAAAGACUUGUAUAUCAAUGCAUCUAUAACUUAUAAGUAAGAUCUUUAAACUGCCAUAUAACAAGUAAUAAUCUCUCUAGUUUAAUUUAUAUGAUAAAGUUUUAAUAGGCACAUGGAUUAAAAAAGAAAUGAAGAUCAUUGUUGCGACUAAUGAUUCUAAACAUGUCAUAAACUUUGUAUGGUCAUACGUCUUUUAAAAUUUGUGGCCUUAAAUAUUCCGUAACAUUUAGGUAGGAAUCUAGUUGUAUAGUACUUAUACAUAUAACAAGUUUGUUGCAGAGGAAGACAAAGAAGCUAAGUGUGGAAGAGAAGAAGAUGGUCUCAAGAAGAACAAACGUUGCCUUUUGUUAAACUUCAAAGGUGAUAAUCCCUAUAAUAAAACUGUUCAAAAAAUUCACAC